AGUAUUAUUUAAAAUGAACUUUUUGAACUUUAUGUCACGUUAUAAAGUUAUUCCUUCAUCAAAAACAUACCUAGAAUGUUGCUUUGACUCAUUCAUGCAAGUUUGAUAAAUCCUUCAAUCUCCAUGGCAACCACUUACGGGUGCCUAAACACUUGCUCACCAUUUAUUUACCCAAAGCUCUGCCUUGGAGCUUCAGUCCACAGCCUCAUAGGAGUACCCCUCCCCCAGAGUAGCGGCAGCAUCAAUUAGCAAACACCUGUUGGAACUGCUGAGCGAAUCAUACAAACUACAACACUAAAAACGGUUGAGAUGUGUCGAAAAGAGUUUCUUAAAGAGACAGAGACUAAUUUCAAUGUGUCAGAUAUGACUGUGACGUGAAGGUACAUUUCUUUUAAGUCAUUUUUUGAUAUACAGCAUUUUCAGAACAACUGAAGGUAACAGUUACUUGACUGUGCUAUAAAAUGUCUGGAAAAUACAUAACCAUAAUAACCACUGCCCUUUAACAAUAAGCGGCAAUUAACAGAGGUUAAACACAUCAAUACCAGAGCUGAACCAACCCAUCAGCCAAAGAUCGGAAUCAGACAAUUUUCUUUAGUCCACAGAAUCAAGUAAUUAAAAAAAACAUCAGAUGGUUUAUGUUUUCUACUAAUUAAAUGCAUCAAAACUAAGAAUUUCCACCAUUUUCAAUCUAUAAACGCAUCUUCCAGCAGCAUCUGCUUUUACAUAAGAAUAAUGAAAAAAAUCCAGGUAGAUACCUUUCAUUAUCUACACAUUUGUAUCUUGUCCAGAGUCUCUUGGAGCCCUGGUCCAAACCCAACAGAAAGUCGGCCAUUUUGGAUCAAAGCCGCCACCGUGUCUCUUCUAUGGAUAAUUUAUUAUCAUUUAUUCAUCAUUUAAUUUUUGUUGGCAUCAGCUACUAAAUCCUUUGAUUAUCAGGUUUAGUCCAACUCUUUCACUCAAAGUACAAACAUAUUUUUGUCAAAAUCAGAAUCAGUGAGUUAGAACUAAAGAAAAUAUUGAUCAGGAAAAACUUAAUUGGCGCUGGUACAACAAUAUAAAUAACAUCCAAAGAGACAUCCAUUUAUCAUUCAAUUUCCCAAAUGAAUGAUAAAUGAUUGCGACAGGCUGAGUGGUGUUUCUCUCCAGCUUUUUAGCAUCAGAUUGACCUCUGAAUUCCUCAACAACAGCAGCUCCACUUUGCAUGCAUGGAUGAAAAAUGACACAAACACUCCCUUAUCUAGCCUUGCAUGGUCGCACACCUGUCUGCACACUAGCCUCUAGGAUUUUCCUGAUUAUAAUGUCCACGACAGAUGAGACUGUGACAAGAGAUCACAGGGAGGCUGACUCAUCAAAGCCUGGCCCAAAUCUAGAGGGCAUUCAAAACACAGCCAUCACCGCAGAAGAGCAUGGAGUGCACUAUAAUCUUCUUCUGACGCUGGCGCUCGCAGUCAGGAAUUUACCGCAGCUAAAUGCUGCGCAACGCAAGUUUGUUAUUCACAAAUCCAUCUUUAUGUUGCCAAUAGAAGCUACAAAGAAAUAAAACUAAAAAACACCAUCAACAGUAAAAUUACAUGUAUCUGUGUUUGUAUAAAUCCCUAUAGUUCAGUUCCAGACCAUCAUGUACUCUACAUUUGUUCAGCAUUGUGGGAAAUGUUCUCAGCGCCAGUGACACUCUGACCCCUGCUGUCUUGACAAUUUGAAACAAUCCAGCCCAUUGUUUCUGCAGGCGGGUCUUCUCAGGCGACGGUCAGAGGCAAGACCGCAUCAUGGUGGCAGAAGACAAUGUUGCUCUACAAUGAGGGAACCGAUGAGGAAAGAGGAGGAGAGGAGAAUGGAAGAAGAGAGGGAGAGAGCAUACAGAAGAUUUAUGGACGGAAGAAAGAAAAGGCUGAAGAGGAGAGGUGAUGUCCAUUAGGUCUAAUGCUGUGAAGAUGUUCUCACAAGGUUGAAAUUUGAUCAGCAUUUACGCUGGCAGAUACUGAGAAUGGAGCAGGAAAUGCUAGAGACAACUACAACUAAAAAAACAAAAAGGUGUGACGCUGAAAACUAGUCAAAAAAGAUACAAUUAAAUCUAAUUAUUUUCCUUUCAGGUGUUUGUCUACAGACUCCACAUCUCAUUGGAGAUUUUGUUUUAGAAUAUGUAUAAAAAGUGAAGGAAUGAAAAGCAUGUGCUUUCAGCUGCACUUUUCAAUCUAUGCCUUGUUUUCUAGCUAUUUACAUAAAUUUAAAUAUUGGUUAUCUUCUAUUAAUUAAUUCUGCUUUGUUUUUUGCAGGUUUUCUUUCAGAGUUUCAGAGUGUUUUCACAAAUUAAAAAUGGCCGAAACAACUUUACUUUAAAUAAAACACAUUCACAUCAAUCUAAACUCCAAACCACAGAGUUACAGCAAAGAUUUUGCUGAUAGAGACACAAAUAGAUUUAAUUGAAACUCUUAAUUUGCAGGUUUAGUUCAUAUUCCCUCAUGCACUUUGUCUACAUAAAUUCACUUGUUGCAUUACGAGGCAAUAUUCUUUAAUUUUCUUCAUUCACACUCAUAUUUAGCUAUUGCUGCUGUUCGUUUUCCUACUCACUCCAAUAUGAAAACUGUUCUGCUUCAUCUAAUUGAGCUGAAUCCUGAAACUAAACAGCAUGCAUAAAAACAUAGAGGGAAUUAUUGAAUCGUCACCUGUACAUUAACUGAUGACAUUAAGCCCGUCACCAUGAAUUUUGAUGCUCGAUAAAUUGUCACACAAGGUAUUGCAAUAAACAAAUAAUAUUGUUGUUUUGAGCCAAUUUUUAGGUAAUAAUGAUGCAAGUACAACCUCUCAA